GAGUUGCACGUGUGGGCGGCGUUCAAAAAGAUCUACGUUUAUUUCACGUUCCUGACCUCGCCCGCCUUUAAAAGUCCUCGUUGCUCCAGGGCGUAGCUCCGUUACCCUGGGGGGCCUAUGGGGGUACGGGGUACAGGCACCCAUCGCUCCGGGACACCUUGCCUCAGUGCUCAUCUCUGUCAAAUUAAAGACUCAAGAGCUGUGUGAAGAAGCUGAGCAGCGUCUCCCUGGCCUGGGCGUGGAGUGAGCUGGUCCCCUCAUCACCAGCACCAUAGACCAGGGGAUGAGGUGCUCCUGGCCCUCCGGCACACCCUCCUGGGCGGACCAGAGGAUGUCCACUGUGCUGGUCACUCCACACUCCUAUCAAGGCCGUGCUGGACAGUCUCAGUGAUGACUCAGACACGUCAAAUAUCUUCCCUCAGAGGCACUGACAGGCUUCUACAGUGGUAGGGCUGAAACGACACAUCCUGGCGGGGGGCACCUUUGACAGCCCAGGACACACUUCCGCCCCCGCCAGCAACCUCAUCACCCGACUGCUAGUUCAGGACCCAGCGCAGUGGUCCAACUCAGAAGAGAUUGCUGCCACGAGUACCUGGCUAGUGCCCCCCCUCUUAUGUACUAGCCCUGACCUUCAGCGACGACCCCGACCCCAUGGAGGCUCUUCAAGGUGGUGGAGACCCUGUUGCACGUUCAUCUGGUGGUGGAAUUCCCUGGCGGCGGCGGCGAGCUGUUCAACACCAUCACCACGGAGGGACGCAUGACGGAGGCACGGGCAGCGGCAGUCUUCACACAGCCGGGCCUCAGACAGUGAGUGCCGGGUGCAGCAGGAGGCGCUAACUCUCCCCUACCCGCUGUUUGUCGCGCUGAACAUUGGCCCGGCGCUUGUGGCUGCCUUCCUCGGCUCUUAUGUGGAGCCCGUGGCUGCCGGCAGUGGCAUCCCGCAGGUCAAGUGUUACCUGAAUGGCGCCAAGGUGUCCCGUGUGGUGAGGAUCAAGACCCUGAUGAGCAAGGCCGUGGGGGUGACCUUCUCUGUGCUGGGAGGCCGGGUCGUGGGAAAGGUCAGGUCGUGGGCAAGGUCUGUGGCCGUGAGCUGACCACCAAGAUGCUGCUGCCCACGGUGCCAGCCAUGGCCAAGGGCAGGGUGGCCAGGACUACAGAUGAUGGGCCACUCCUAGACAAAGUGGACCUGGACACACUGUUCUGCGGCACCAGCAGCAGCAGCCUGCACAUCCAUGGCCUGCAGGAGGAGGACGAGGGGACGUACAGGUGCCGGGCGGAGAACAGGGAGGACUCGCUCGACGCCGUGGCCCACAUACAGG